UACGUAGGGUGCAAGCGUUGUCCGGAAUUAUUGGGCGUAAAGGGCUCGUAGGCGGUUUGUCGCGUCGGGAGUGAAAUCCACUGGACUUGAACUGGUGGCUUGCUUUCGAUACGGGCAGGACUGGAGGUAUGCAGGGGAGAACGGAAUUCCUGGUGUAGCGGUGAAAUGCGCAGAUAUCAGGAGGAACACCGGUGGCGAAGGCGGUUCUCUGGGCAUGUCCUGACGCUGAGGAGCGAAAGUGUGGGGAGCGAACAGG
rnacentral:rRNA from 1 species